GGCCUGGGCCGCAUAUAAAGUCUUGCGAGACCGUUUCUCUUUCCACUUCCUUCUUGCAACUUCGGAUGGCCAUGCGCAGAUCUCGAGCGGCGGUUUCUGCAGAACAGAUGACCAGUGUUCGGCAAACCAUGGCUACUCUUACAAGGUGGUCAUGUGAUACGGGCAUCGUGAGCCUCUGAGAUGUGCUGCAACGUUCUAGAGGCAGAAUCCUGCAGUGGUUCGGACAUCAGUGACCAGAAGAGUUAUUCCGGUCAGUCUGGCAGCUGGACAUGGCCUGAGGACUUGUCUGUGAGCAGGAGGCAGUAGCAGCAUGUCCAGGCUGGUCUGGGGCUGGUGCAGUCAGCGUGGCUACAUGGAUCUAUACUUCUGAUCCUUCCUGUCAGAAUGCUGUUUCCUGUUGAAGAUGGAGGCUGGUGCACGACACCAUGGUGUCUGUGGCCUGGACGAGAUUGAGGACCCCGGACUCUAAACAUGGAGCCUUUGCUGCCCCUGUGGAUGUCUGCAGUACUGCAGACUGGAGUCUCAAACCAAGUCAGGGCCUGUCCUGGAGGGUGUGCUGCAGGGCUGGGAUGCACAUCUACAUGGUAGCUUGGCACGGUCAUGCUGAAAGCAGGUCUGACCCAAACCAGCUUCUCCAGAGGGGCGGAGCUUCACUGGGACCAUGAAGUGCGUUUCCUGUCACUUCCACUUCCUGUUGGCUGAUCUGGGAUGUUGAUGAUGAUAUUUCUGUCAACUAACAGUCUCAGGCUCUUUGCCCCUUGUCCAGCCCCCAGGGCUAUAUUGUUGCCCCCCAGAAUGCCCACUGUUUGGUUCUCCUGUUGGCCCAGAGUGGGGCUGAUGAGCCUGACACGACCCAGGGGUAAGGCUCUGCUCUGGAUUCUGAUGGAGGACCAGUGGGGCUGGUCCUGUGGGCUGGCUCGGGGCAACAGUACCUCCAUAACUGAUAAAACAAUCUGAUCUCAUCCAGACUCAAAACUCCUCCAUCCACAUCAUGAAGUCCCCUUUGACUCAUCUUCCUCUUCUCUCCCCAGACUGGUUCUGGCUUCUAGAAGCCUCCUGGUUGUGCUGAGCGUGGCUACAUCGAUCUAUACUUCUGAUCCUUCCUCCUGUCAGGUGUGGAUCAUGGAGAGGAUGUUCAUCGUCCAGCUGAGAUGGGGAGGAGGGAGAUUCAUACCUCACACCAUACUUGACUAAUUUGAACUGACAUGCAGAUUUAUUACAUGCAUAAUAAAAUGGUCAAGCUUCA